rnacentral:sRNA from 1 species
UUAUGAAGAUGCUUAUGACAAACUUUCUCCAGAAAAUGAGCCUGAUUUGAAAAAGCGGAUCCGUGUGCACUUGCUCAAUGCCCAUGGCCUGGAUGAAGCUGGCAUUGAUGGUGGUGGUAUUUUCAGAGAGUUUUUAAAUGAACUACUGAAGUCAGGAUUUAACCCCAACCAGGGGUUCUUUAAGACUACUAAUGAAGGGCUUCUGUACCCCAACCCGGCUGCUCAGAUGCUUGUGGGAGAUUCUUUUGCCAGACAUUACUACUUCCUAGGCAGAAUGCUUGGAAAGGCUCUCUAUGAGAACAUGCUGGUGGAGCUGCCCUUUGCGGGCUUCUUUCUUUCCAAGUUGCUUGGAACCAGUGCUGAUGUGGACAUUCACCACCUUGCCUCCCUAGACCCUGAGGUGUAUAAGAAUUUGCUCUUUCUGAAGAGCUACGAAGACGAUGUGGAGGAGCUUGGGCUGAACUUCACUGUGGUGAACAAUGACCUGGGAGAGGCGCAGGUGAGGGGUCAGGAGCAAGUAG